rnacentral:rRNA from 1 species
AUACGGAGGGUGCAAGCGUUAUCCGGAUUUAUUGGGUUUAAAGGGUGCGCAGGCGGAUAAUUAAGUCAGUGGUGAAAUCCUCCCGCUCAACGGGAGAACUGCCAUUGAUACUGAUAAUCUGGAAUACAGUUGAAGUGGGCGGAAUGUAGCAUGUAGCGGUGAAAUGCAUAGAGAUGCUACAGAACACCGAUCGCGAAGGCAGCUCACUAAGCCGAUAUUGACGCUCAGGCACGAAAGCGUGGGUAGCGAACAGGAUUAGAAACCCCAGUAGUCC